ACAACUUCUUGUGCCAUGGAGAGAUGGGCAUCAGUGGUGGGCCUGAGGAGGUUACAGCUCAGGAUAUGAGGAACCUGAAGGCAGAGGUGCAAAAUGCA